AGGUAGGCUCUCUAGGAAUCUGGGAGUAGUAGCUGGGGGGCAAGAGCAAAUAAAGAGCUCGAGCUUCUGUGGUCUCUGGGGAGAUGUUCCCGGGAAGCCUGUCUAGAGGGCGGAGGGCAGCUGUUGAGAUGGCGUGGCUCCCCGGCUCCUGCGCCCGCGUGGCUUUCGCGGCGGGCGCUGCGGCCCGGUAUUGGACAGCCUGGCAGGGCAGCGCGGGGCCGAAUCCGGCUGCCGUGGCUGAGGCUCAUGGAUCACUCUUUUGUGGUAGGGCCACAUCUGCCAGAGCCUGGAGUCUGCGAAGGCCGGGACCCGGUUCCCCGGCCCACAGUGGGGGUGUGCAAACCCGAGAGAACUGGGUUGCAAAUUCGUGAAGAAUCAGCAUCAUGUUUGGCAGCUGAGUAUUGGAGCCAGGAGCCUGCCAUGAGGUUAUAUUCCCAGAGGAUGUCAGUCCCAAGGACCAGUAGCUGCCAUCAGUUUGGAUUCUGAAAACUAACUGGCAUCAACACUGGGUGUAGAAACAUGCUUGCCUUAUGUAUCAGAGGACAUGCUCAGCAGAUCCAAGAGAUAUAUUUGGCAACUUUUUCUAGAAAAGGCACAUUGGGUAUCAUUCAUUACAUUCUUGAGUUUUUUUGGGUUUUUUUUUUUUUUUUUGAGACAGUCUUGCUGUAUUGCCCAGGCUGGAGUGUGGUGGCACAAUCACAGCUCAUUGCAUCCUCAAUCACCCAGGCCUAAGCAAUCCUCCCACCUUGUAGCUGGGACUACAGCUCACAGCACACCUGGCUAAAAUUUUUUUUUUGUUGAGACGGAUUCUCUAUGUUGCCCAGGCUGGUCUCAGGCUCCUGGGCUCAGAUGGUCCUCCUGCCUCAGCUUCCAAAGGCACAGGCCAAGUUGUAGCUUUGUCCCUUGCCAUCAUGCCCAACAAGAGGUUCUAUACCUUUUAAUGAAUUGACUUUCAUAAAUUGGUUAUGUUGGUGGGCAAAGUUCUUUAAGCUGGAAAUUGUAAAUUCCUCCUGAAAUGUUUUUUCAUGCAGUUACCAUGAACUAAUACUACAAUAAA
rnacentral:lncRNA from 1 species